rnacentral:rRNA from 1 species
AUGUGGUGUCGCUCAGACGCCCGACUGCGGCAUGCUUGUUGUUUAUCGAUCUUUUAUAAGCCCUUUAUCUGGUGUCGCUCAGACGCCCGACUGCGGCAUGCUUGUUGUUUAUUGAUCUUUUAUAAGCCCUUUAUGUGGUGUCGCUCAGACGCCCGACUGCGGCAUGGUUACUCUUGCAUUUUCCUCUCGAGGAGUCAUUCAGACACUCGCUUGGCCCUCAAUAUUUUACUUUGGGAUUUCGGGAGGACUACCGCCCGACUUCUCUUUGUUUCCCAUGCAUCAUUAUCUCUAUGCCUGAUUGCACUUGUUAAUCUGUUCUCAUGCAUCGUGUUUACAAUUGUUAUAUCUUAUGUUCGAACUAUCUUGCGAGUACUUUCAUAG